CAGCCGCCGCGGUAAUACGUAGGUGGCAAGCGUUGUCCGGAAUUAUUGGGCGUAAAGGGCUCGCAGGCGGCUUCUUAAGUCUGAUGUGAAAGCCCCCGGCUCAACCGGGGAGGGUCAUUGGAAACUGGGAAACUUGAGUGCAGAAGAGGAGAGUGGAAUUCCACGUGUAGCGGUGAAAUGCGUAGAGAUGUGGAGGAACACCAGUGGCGAAGGCGACUCUCUGGUCUGUAACUGACGCUGAGGAGCGAAAGCGUGGGGAGCGAACAGGAUUAGAGACCCCCGUAGUCCCUGUCUCUUAUAC
rnacentral:rRNA from 1 species